rnacentral:rRNA from 1 species
AGAGUUUGAUCCUGGCUCAGAUUGAACGCUGGCGGCAUGCCUAACACAUGCAAGUCGAACGAGGGUAGCAAUACCCUAGUGGCGGACGGGUGAGGAAUACGUAGGAAUUUGCCCUUAAGUGGGGGAUAGCCCGGGGAAACCCGGAUUAAUACCGCAUGAUCUCGAAAGAGCAAAGUGGGGGAUCGCAAGACCUCACGCUU